CGCUGCGACGGGACGGGACGCACUGGAGUCAGCCGCUCAGCCUGGCCGACUUGGCACAAUUGAGCUGGCGACGGGAUGCUCAUGCCGGGUGGCUAAAUCAUCGGAAGCGGCCAUGUCUUGCAAGUCUAUGUUUGGGUUCAUUUUUCUCCGCAUCAUCCAAAGAAUCAUAAAGCAUGCCAGAGCCAGUUGUCUUGCCACCACUGACGUGAGUUCUGAGCCCAAACAGAAAGAUGACAUCUGCUGUGGUCUUGGACAUCUCUGCUAGUUUUUCCCGAAUUUCUGUCCUAGGUACUGUUGCCUUCCUGGGGUGAAGGACAUCAAUGACCAUUUGUUUCCUCUGAAGUAGUCGGU